GGUAAACAUGUGCUGUUAAGUUACAUUUUCCAGAUAAAACCAAUAAGUUAACAAUUAAUUCAAUUUUACAACUUCUAUAUGAUUAAAAACUGGACUUUUCACUGCUUACGUGGCUCCUACAAAGUCCCGCCCCCCACCUCAGUGCUCGCCUUCUGAUUGGUCCAAACCGUUGCCUUUUAGCCCCUCCCCUGUAUCCUGCGUACGGACGUCAUGACGCAGGGACCCGGAAGUGGUGGCGGAGCGCAGCAGAGAGAGUAAAGGCGAAGACAAGAGCGACUUUCUUCUUUCUUUCUGGCGACUUUUUCACAGUUUGGCAGAAAAAACGGGACAGAAAAAGUAGAAGAAUUCCCGGAAGUCCUCCAGACAGUGUCUUCGGUGCUCUCUCCCCUCUCUGUCUGCUGUCUUCUGUCCAGCCAUGGACCACAUGGACCACAGCAGCAUGGCGAUGGACCACAGCCACCACCAACACAACACCGUGGCCACGCCCACAACUGGCCACGACCACGGCGGUGACCACGGGGGGGACC